rnacentral:piRNA from 1 species
UAGGGAGUUAAUUAACUAUAUCUGCAACA